GCCGCUGCCAACCCGGAAGGAGCCCGGGCGGCCAGGGCGCCCCCGCCAGGAGGCCCGCCAGGUGUCCACCUGAGCCCCACGCCCUGCGCCCUGCGCCGCGGGGCCCUUUUAGGGGCAGGGUGCCAGCUCCGAGGUGUCCUCCCACGGGCUGUAGACUGGGAAACUGAGGCCCGGGCGACGGUCCCACACGCAGCUGGGACCCGAACCCACCUCACCUGAGCGAAUGAUAUCGGGGACUCCUCCUUUUUCGACACCUUUGCGGGAUCCAGCCCUCCAGGGAAAGCUUCCUGAGCAGUGCGCGCCAUGUGUACUGGGCACCUCACCGCGGCCACUUCACAUUGUAUCUCAGGUGGAGAAACUGAGCCACAGAGAGGAGCUGUCAUUUACCUAAAGCACCAUGGCAGGGAUUUGGCAGAGCCAGGAUUUGUACCCAGAUCGCCUGACUUUGGAGAGUAUCAGCUCUUAACCACAGCACUUUGGUCUAUGCCUUGAUUUCACCAUAUGUAACAAGUAGAUGGGGUUUCACCGUGGUCUCGAUCUCCUGGCCUCAUGAUCCGCCCUCCUCGGCCUUCCAAAGUGCUGGGAUUACAGGCGUGAGCCACCGCGCCCGGCCCUAUAUGUGGAUUUUCUUCUGCCCCUGUCACCCCUGAGACAGCAAGACCACCCAUUCCUCUUCCUCUUCCUCCUCCUCCUCAGCCUACUCAACAUGAAGACAAGGAUGAAGACCUUUAUGAUGAUCCACUUCCACUUAAUAGCAAAUAUAUUUUUUCUUCUUUAUGAUUUUCUUAAUAACAUUUUCUUUUUAAAAUUUUUUUUCGUAUUUUUAAGAGAUGGGGUCUUGCUAUGUUGCCCAGGCUGGUCUUGAAUUCCUGGACUCAAAUGAUCCUUCUACCUCAGCCUCCCAAAGUGCUAGGAUUACAGUUAGGAGCCACCACACCUACCCACAUUUUUUUUCCUCUAGCCUACUUUAUUGUGAGAAUACUGCAUAUAAUAACAUACAAAAUAUGUGUUAAUUUUUUUUUUUUUUUGAGAUGGAGUUUCACUCUUGUUGCCCCAGCUGGAAUGCAAUGGCGUGAUCUUGGCUCACUGCAACUUCUGCCUCCCAGAUUCAAGCGAUUCUCCUCCUCAGCCUCCCAAGUAGCUGGGAUUACAGGCAUGUGCCACCACACCCAGCUAAUUUUGUAUUUUUAGUAGAGACAGGGUUUCUCCAUGUUGGUCAGGCUGGUCUUGAACUCCUGACCUCAGGUGAUCCACCUGCCUCGGCCUCCCAAAGUGCUGGGAUUACAGGUGUGAGCCACCACACCCAGCCUUAAUGGACUGUUUAUGUGAUCAGUAAGCUCCUGGUCAGCAGUAGGCUGUUAGUGGUAAAGUUUUUGGGGAGUCAAAAGUUAUGUGCACAUUUUUGAGUGUGCAUGAGGGGGAUCAGUGCCUUAAUCCCCAUAUUGUUCAAAUGUCAACUGUAAUAUGAUUAAUUGUGGAAAUUUUUGCAAUGUCUAAAUCAGAUAAAAAGGCUAAUUUUCUCCACAUAUAAAGAGCUUUUACAAAUCAGUAACAUUUGAUCAAUGACUUAAUAGAUAAAUGAAUAAAAGUUGUGAACAGACGACUAACUCAGAAUGAAAAGGCUUCACUCAAAAGAAGAGCAAUGUGCUUACGUGUGGUGACUCACACCUAUGAUCCCAGCACUUUGCAGGCCAUGGCAGGAUGAUUACUUGAGACCAGAGUUCAAGACCAGCCUGGGCAAGAUAGCAAGACCCCUAUCUCUACAAAAAAUUUAAGAAUUAGCUGGUUGUGGUUGUGCACACCUAAGCAAGAUCGUGUCUUUAAAAAAGAAAAAGAAGAAAGAGAAAGAGAAAAAAAGAAUUCAAAUGAAAAUCACAAUGCAAAGCUGAUGGGUCUCACUCAUCACCAGGCUGGAGUACAGUGACAUGAUCACGGCUCACUGUAGCCUCAACCUCCCAGGUUCACACUAUCCUCCCACCUGAGCCUCCCAGGACCACAGGCGUGUGCCACCACGCCCAGCUAAUUUUUUGUAGAGAUAGGGUUAUGCCAUGUUGCCCAGGCUGGUCUCAAGCUGCUGGGCACAAACAAUCUACCUGUCUCAGUCUCCCAGAGUGCUGGGAUUACAGUCGUGAGCCACUGUGCCCAGCCAACAGUGUCUUUCAAAGAGCAGAGAGAGGUUAAUUUUGAUGAUGUCCAGCUUGCACCUUUGUUGAAAAUUGAUCACAUAUCUGUGAGUUUGUUUCUAGACUCUUUGUUCAGCUUUAUUAAACUACUUGUCUAUUUGUACACCAA